GUAAGGUAACGGCUUACCAAGGCGACGAUCAGUAGCCGACCUGAGAGGGUGAUCGGCCACAUUGGAACUGAGACACGGUCCAAACUCCUACGGGAGGCAGCAGUGGGGAAUAUUGCACAAUGGGCGAAAGCCUGAUGCAGCAACGCCGCGUGAGUGAUGAAGGCCUUCGGGUCGUAAAACUCUGUCCUCAAGGAAGAUAAUGACGGUACUUGAGGAGGAAGCCCCGGCUAACUACGUGCCAGCAGCCGCGGUAAUACGUAGGGGGCUAGCGUUAUCCGGAUUUACUGGGCGUAAAGGGUGCGUAGGCGGUCUUUCAAGUCAGGAGUGAAAGGCUACGGCUCAACCGUAGUAAGCUCUUGAAACUGGGAGACUUGAGUGCAGGAGAGGAGAGUGGAAUUCCUAGUGUAGCGGUGAAAUGCGUAGAUAUUAGGAGGAACACCAGUUGCGAAGGCGGCUCUCUGGACUGUAACUGACGCUGAGGCACGAAAGCGUGGGGAGCAAACAGGAUUAGAUACCCUGGUAGUCCACGCUGUAAACGAUGAGUAC
rnacentral:rRNA from 1 species